UGGAAUGAUGAUUUCAUAGACUAGAGUCUCUGAAAAGCAUGAAGUUACUUUCACAGUGCUCUGACCA
ensembl:snoRNA